CCAGUAGCGUAUAUUAAAGUUGUUGCAGUUAAAAAGCUCGUAGUUGAAUUUCGGGAUCAAAGAAUCGGUCAUGCCUUGGUAUGUACUGGUUUUAUUGGUUCUCACCUUCUAAAGAACCAUGAUGUCAUUCAUUUGAUGUUAUGGGGAAUUAGGACUGUUACCUUGAAAAAAUUAGAGUGUUUAAAGCAAGCUUACGCUUGAAUACAUUAGCAUGGAAUAAUGAAAUAGGACAUCAGAUUCUAUUUUGUUGGUUUCUAGGAUCGAUGUAAUGAUUAAUAGGGAUAGUUGGGGGCAUUAGUAUUCAAUUGUCAGAGGUGAAAUUCUUGGAUUUAUUGAAGACUAACUACUGCGAAAGCAUUUGCCAAGGAUGUUUUCAUUAAUCAAGAACGAAAGUUAGGGGAUCGAAGACGAUCAGAUACCGUCGUAGUCUUAACCAUAAACUAUGCCGACUAGGGAUCGGAUGAUGUUAAUUUUUUAAUGACUCAUUCGGCACCUUACG
rnacentral:rRNA from 1 species